UAUGCCUACGGGAGGCAGCAGUGGGGGAUAUUGCACAAUGGGGGGAACCCUGAUGCAGCGACGCCGCGUGGGUGAAGAAGCGCCUCGGCGCGUAAAGCCCUAUCGGCAGGGAAGAAGAAAGACGGUACCUGACUAAGAAGCCCCGGCUAACUACGUGCCAGCAGCCGCGGUAAUACGUAGGGGGCGAGCGUUAUCCGGAUUCACUGGGUGUAAAGGGAGCGUAGACGGCCAAGCAAGCCAGGGGUGAAAGCCCGGGGCCCAACCCCGGGACUGCCCUUGGAACGGCAUGGCUGGAGUGCGGGAGG
rnacentral:rRNA from 1 species